rnacentral:rRNA from 1 species
UACGUAAGUCCCGAGCGAUGUCCGGAUUUAUUGGGCGUAAAGCGAGCGCAGGUGGUUUAUUAAGUCUGGUGUAAAAGGCAGUGGCUCAACCAUUGUAUGCAUUGGAAACUGGUAGACUUGAGUGCAGGAGAGGAGAGUGGAAUUCCAUGUGUAGCGGUGAAAUGCGUAGAUAUAUGGAGGAACACCGGUGGCGAAAGCGGCUCUCUGGCCUGUAACUGACACUGAGGCUCGAAAGCGUGGGGAGCAAACAGG